GGAUGCGAUCAUACCAGCACUAAAGCACCGGAUCCCAUUAGAACUUCGAAGUUAAGCGUGCUUGGGCGAGAGUAGUACUAGGAUGGGUAACCUCCUGGGAAGUCCUCGUGUUGCAUUCC
rnacentral:rRNA from 1 species